rnacentral:rRNA from 1 species
UAAACGCUGGCGGCAUGCCUUACACAUGCAAGUCGAACGGCAGCACGGGGGCAACCCUGGUGGCGAGUGGCGGACGGGUGAGUAAAGCAUCGGAACGUAUCCUGGAGUGGGGGAUAACGUAGCGAAAGUUACGCUAAUACCGCAUAUUCUGUGAGCAGGAAAGCAGGGGAUCGCAAGACCUUGCGCUCUGGGAGCGGCCGAUGUCGGAUUAGCUAGUUGGUGGGGUAAAGGCCUACCAAGGCGACGAUCCGUAGCGGGUCUGAGAGGGAUGAUCCGCCACACUGGGGACUGAGUACACGGCCCAGACUCCUACGGGAGGCAGCAGUGGGGAAUUUUGGCCAUGGCUUCUAAAUGAGGUUAAAUUCUUUUUAUAUUCCCCCUUGAUAAGCUUUACAACACAGUCUUCUUCACUUAUGUCAAUUCGCUGGGUCAUGCUCUCGCACAUUGCCCAAAAUUCCCCACUGCUGCCCAGGGUAGGUCAUUUUCAUACCCUAUGUGGCUGAUUCCUCUCUC